UUUUUUUUUUUUCCCAAGGUUAUUUUUUUGCAGAUGUCGAGGAGAGCAGGACCAUGGUUAUAUUAUCCUUAUUGCAUACGUUCUGUGUUCCCAGAGCUCUUUGGUAAGUCAGGUUUUUGGCACUUAGAGCACAUUUCUCCAUAGAGACAUCUUUGCAAAAUAUGGAAAGAGUCCCAGGCGCACACUCCCAAAUAUUUAGCCUUCAAAGUAAAAGAGAAACGUUACUAGAGAGCCCUGAGCUCCAAACCAUGGCGAGUCCCUUUUGCUUCAGGGCUGAUCCCAGUUCUAGAGGGAUGGACAUGAGGGCUGGGGAGGAAGCGGAGGGAUGCUGGCACUAAGGGAGACAUCAGUCCAAGGACCUCUAAGUAAAGGGUCCAAAAUUGAGGACCUUCCUUCUAAAAUCACUACUGGUGAUGCCUGGAGUGUGUAUAGUAUUUUUUAUAUACAUAGUUUACAAACUCUCUCAUUUGAUCAUCAAACCACUUUUCUUCAGAAGCUAACAGUUUCAGGGGCCAUUCAGUAACCAACGCGGGAAAUUAGAUCCGAAGAUCUUAAAAACAUUCUCAACAGCUGGCAUACAUCCUUGGGAAAUCUUGCUUCCCUUUCAAAACUGUAGGUUUGUCGUUUUGUUUAAAAUGUGAUUUCACUCAUCUAGACGGAGAUUCUUCUAGAAUAUUUCAAAGAUAUUUAUAAUAGGAUGACAGACUGGAGCUGAAUUUAAUGUCUCAUUCCCCACCCCACCCCACCGCCCCAAAAUACUGGAGGAAAUAAAGUAAACAUUUGUUUUAGGCUGUGUCUUUUCUAGGAAAAAUGGUAAUCUUUACCACCCCAAUCUGGCACAAAGGUUUCUGACUUCACAUCUGAAAUGCUAGGAUGGUCUGCUAGUCGAAGCAGUCGGAAAUAAAUUCCAGCAGCCAAGGCUACACAAGUUCCCCAGGGAAAACUAGCAGAAUCUUCAUACGUUUACAUCAAUCUGUUCCAACGUAGUUAAAAUCAAAUAAAAGCACAGGAUGUAUGUGAAAUGUGUGUGUGUGUGUGUGUGUGUGUGUGUGUGUGUGUGUGUGUGUGUGUGUGUGUUUAUUAACAAAGGCUAGCAAAAUUUAGCCAAAAUCUGUGAAGCCAGGCGAAAACAGAAACCUUGACUAUUUAUUCCAGUUUUCUCACCACACACAAACAAGAGUUAAGAGAGAUGGCCGGGCUCUCGCUUGGAAUUUCCUAGCGCCUGUCACUUUGUCUCACCAUCGUCUACAUUUUUAGCCUUGUUCCCAUUGUGUGCUGAGCAGAGGCACUGGAACAAUGCUCUUAACAUUCCUGGAAUGUAACAGGCACAUCCUAGUACUUGGUGCCAAUAGAGCACCACUCUCACACUGCUCACGGAAGGGUUAAAAACAGAAAGUCCUACCCACUGGUUUGCUCUGAUGUUCCUGGAGAUAUUGUCACUGGAUGUAUCCUCAGUAGAAUUCUAUUCAACACCUCUGUCUUUAAGUACAAAGCUGUAGGCUGUAGCAGCUUUAAGAAACAUAAGUAUCCCUUUUUUCUGCUGCACAGUAUCUGUGUGUGAAAUUCUCUAAAGGGGUUUAAGUAUUUACCC
ensembl:lncRNA